rnacentral:misc_RNA from 1 species
GGUUCUUUUCUAUUUAUUGCAGUCGUGGGUGGAUUUUAGUUUAAUUUUAGAAUCUUGGCUGAAGAGGGAGGGAAAGAUGUUUGGUCGGGCCACUUUAGCAAGAACAGGAAGUUUUAGGCCAGAAAAUCUUGGCCAAAAUGCAUUGGCCAUGAUUGGGAAUCUCUGCUUUACAAUAUUUGUCCUAGGAGUCCUGAUUUUCACCAUUAUUGCUGCUACAUAUGAGCCGGAGGACCCGCUUUUUCAUCCAUCAACAAA